GCCCAAAAGAUGGUGAACAGUGUGUGGCUCUGUAAAAGGUGAACAGUGGAAGCCAGGUACUUUUUGAAAAAGACAGGUGAACAGUGCUGAAUAGGAGUCCUGAGUAUUAAAAUCGGAUGAGCAGUGCCGUACCACGGGGACGUCCGUAUGAUUAAACAGUGCUCGAAACAGUAACAGAGCGCUUCUAGAAUUCACUACACCACAACCUCAGAACAACGUUGGACGGUCCGUCGGUAUAAGACGUUUUACCGUCAGACAGGCCAUCGAUGUAGAGAUAUACCGUCAGAUCAAGUUAGUCGCUAUAAGCCCUGUCGGUAAAAAGUUUUACCGACAAACUACCCUUUCAACGACAGACAGUCUGACGGAGAGAAAAUCACCGACAGACAGUCCGAUGGAGAGAAAAUCACCGACAGACAGUGUGUUACCAGUUAUGCCGACACACCGUGCGAUGUUAUAAAUAUAUUUACCGACAGAUUGUCCAAC
rnacentral:lncRNA from 1 species